CCGGUGGCUUUCGCCACCGGCUAAAUUCCGGCGUCCCUUCGGGACU
rfam:Chthoniobacter flavus Ellin428 ctg65, whole genome shotgun sequence.